rnacentral:rRNA from 1 species
UUCCUCCUGAUUGAAGGAGGUAAGACCUGCUCACUGAAAAUUAAAGAGCCGCAGUAUACUGACUGUGCUAAGGUAGCAUAAUCAUUAGUCUUUUAAUUGGAGACUGGUAUGAAUGGUUAAACGAGAGAUCAGCUUUUUUUAUUAUAGAUAUUGAAUUUAACUUUUUAGUGAAAAGGCUAAAAUGGGUCAGAAAGACGAGAAGACCCUAUAGAGUUUUAUAUAAGGAAGAAUCUCUUCUUCUUGGAUUUUUUAAGAAGAUGUUUGGGAUUAUAUUUUGUUGGGGCGACAUUUAGAUAAAAGAAACUCUUUUUGAAAGAAACUUUUAUAAAAGGAAGGUUUGAUCCCCUGUAAGGGAUCAUAAGAAAAAAUUACCUUAGGGAUAACAGCGUAAUCUUUUUUGAGAGUUCUAAUCGACAAAAAGGUUUGCGACCUCGAUGUUGGACUAAAAUUUGGGCAGGGUGCAGCAGUUCUGCUUUAGGGUCUGUUCGACCCGUAAUAUUUUACAUGAUCU